rnacentral:rRNA from 1 species
AUUGAACGCUGGCGGCAGGCCUAACACAUGCAAGUCGAACGAGUGGCGGACGGGUGAGUACUGUCUGGGAAACUGCCUGCUGGAGGGGGAUAACUACUGGAAACGGUAGCUAAUACCGCAUACCAUCAGAUGUGCCCAGAUGGGAUUAGCUUGUUGGUGGGGUAACGGCUCACCAAGGUGACGAUCCCUAGCUGGUCUGAGAGGAUGACCAGCCACACUGGAACUGAGACACGGUCAAGAGUCCAACGGGAGGCAGCAGUAGGAGAUAUUGCACAAUGGGCGUAAGCCUAAUGCAGCCAUGCAGCGUGUAUGAAGAAGGACUUCGGGGUGUAAAGUACUUUAAGCGGGGAGGCGUUACCCGAAGAAGAAGCACCGGCUAACUCCGUGCCAGAAGCCGCGGUAAUUC